ACUCUAGUCUGGCACGGUGAAGACACCUGGGAGGUGUAGAAGAAGUGGGAGGCCCCCGGGCUCGCCGCGAGGGCAUCCUGGUCCCGGCUGCCGGUGAAAUACCACCACUCUAAGAGUUUUUUCACUGACCCGGUGAACCGGGGGAGGGGGGGAGGGAAAGGGGAGGGCUGGUGUCGCUUCUGGCACCGAGCGCAGGAGUCCCCCCUCCGCGCUCCGGGGACAGCGUCAGGUGGGGAGU
rnacentral:ncRNA from 1 species